rnacentral:lncRNA from 1 species
GCUGUGUGCGAGCGGUCAUUUGUAGACGAAUCCUUCAGCGAUGGGUGAGGGUGAAAAAUGUCAUUUGGGAAGUGGAUGCCUGCUUAACGGAGGCUGUCUAAGACGUUCAUUUCAGUGAAGUUCCUCAGAAAGUGCCAGCCACUUGCAAAUGGCCUUCCCUGAUGGAAGAACCCGUACUCAGUUGUCUCCUUUAUACACGGGCUGGCGAUAUUAAUGGGCUGCUCCACCUCCCCCUUCAGUAAAAUAUAUAGCAAAUAGAGCGUUUAAUCAGUGUCACUGGAUGUACAGUUCUGUGACUCGAGCAUUUCUCCAAGUGCUUCUUCAAGGACAUUGAAGUUAUUACUCAUUGCCGAAGCGAAUUGAUUCUACCUUUUCGGAGCCUGCAGGACACAAAGGUUGGACAGGAAUCACGUUCAUUCUGAACCCUCUUUCUUUUCCUAUUAUGAGGUCUGUGGCUGUUUCAACCAGGCACAUCACAAAUGAGUCAUCAGACCUCCACAUCAUUCCAAAAGGGAACAACUGAAGGCUCUUAUGCUGUCAUAAGACCUUACCUCAUAUGACACCAAAAUGUGUGCCCAUGGUUUGUUUCUGGUGACUAAAGCUGAGGAGAAGCAGACUGACAUCCUGGCGGGGCUGCUCCAUCGCAAUUGACUCAUGUAUAAAUUAUUUGCUUGUCUUCUGCUUCAGUGAUGAUGUAACUUUCUCUCACGUUAGUUGCAAUUUUUCAGCCUACUGUGAGAAAUCACGCCCGGUAGCCUGUUAAUCCCGUCAAAGGUCAGUAAUACUGAUUAAAGCUAUUUUUUUUUUUAACACAGAGACCAUCACUUGCUGGGAAGGCAAAAACGAUGGCUUAUAGCAUCCUUCUUCAGCUUCUGCUGCUUAAUUAGAUAUAUCAGAGAACACUAGUGCCUUUAAUCCUCUCCCAGACCUUUCCAUUGAAAUCACUCUUUAAACAUCUAAGCACAGAUCAUAUAAAUAGAGUCAUUUUGUUUGUUUUGUCCCUAAGUUCCUUAUCCUCAGAUGCAUCUUCUGAGAAUUCCUUCCCUCCUCUCAUCUUCGGCUGCUCACUCUUCAUCCCCCACACAUGGUUGGCUUCUUCUGAUUUGGAGUAUAUCUGGAGAUACCUUGUUAAUGUGAAGUGCUUUUAAUGUAAGCGCAAUCUGGAAUUUAAAAGUAUCUCUUGGUACCACUAAGAUGACCUGAAACUGAAUUUUAAAGCAAAUUAAAUUAAAGCAUUUAUAUUCAAAGGCUGUACAAAGACUUUCCUGAGAUUUGAAGAUGAUUAAAUUGGUAGCAGGAUUAAAGAAAUUAAUCCAGAAAAUUGUAGACCAUUCUCUAAACCUCUGCUUUGUGUAAUGACUAAUAGCUGAAAACACACACACACACACACACACACACACACACACACACAAGGGUUCAGUGAAGGGUGUAUAAUGCAAGCACACCUUAGGCGGUUGCUUUGCUAAAUUCUACAUCACCUCAAAUUUUGUCAAAUUGUUUCCUAUUUCAUGGAUCAAGAAACUGAGGUGAAGAUGACCUGCCUUUGAGCCAGUGAUUUCUAGGUCAUGGUUUUAUUUGGGGCUUCUUUGCUCUGAGAGGAAUGUAAGCGUUUUAAGACUCACUUGUUAGCUUUGCUUUCAUACAUGCACUUUUCAUAAUGUAAUUCAAUUAACAAUCAGCAUUCCUACUGAUACGGGAAGUACACUUGCUACAAUUAAUGUCUUGUACCUCUGAUUCAUUAUGAAAAUAUUUUUGGAUUCUUUUUAUUAGAUAAAUAUAAGGAUAUAUAAGCAUGACUUUCACUUAAAAUCACGAAUGUUAUUUUUGUCAAAUUGGUGGCCAGUAUUAAAGAUAUUCCAUUUGUCCACCGUUGUUUGUUGCCUGAGUCUAGGAAUGCUAAAUUGACUUUUAGUCUUUAGUAUUUGAGCUUCCAGUCUUUUUUUUUUUUUUUUUUUUGGUUAUUAUCAAAGCAAUUAGGUCACUUGAUCCACUGCUCAAUCAUCAGACUUAUCUUCCUCAAGUUAAUGGUACCUUGUUCACUUCGAAGUCAUUUCAGUUUUUAUUUAAAUCCCUUAAGCCAUGGGUAUGGCCAAACAAUAAAUUAAAAAGCCUUAAAACUACAUCCUUGAACCAUAGGAUUUUGAGUCUCUUAUAACUUAAAGGUGAUCAAACCCAACUUGUUUUUAAUGGGUUACAAAUUCCAGUGGAAAGGGGAAACCAGAGUAGUUCCAUCAUCCACAUAUUCAUUCUCUUACUCUUUGUAGUCAGUGCUUGCUUAAUGAUGGGUGGCUCUCCAGUAGGUAUUAUUCAAAACUUCGGUUGCUGGAAAUAUGCUCGUGUGAACACUGAGUUAGAGCAAGUUGGAACGCCAUGAAAUAAAAAUCACACAUCUACCAUUAGCAAGUUUAUAUUUCAAUGAAAAGAUUAAUCAGUCUUAGCCUUGACUGUUGAUCUUAAAAUCAAGGUCUUAUCAGUACCUGGAGAGCCUCCUGUACUGUUAUUGCAUCUCCCUCAAUGUAAGACUACCCGUGCACAGCCGUUCCUUGUAUGUUUGAUUCUUUGUAGGGCAGCCAUGCAGGGGGGGUGGGUGAUCAGGCAGGCCUGAUACAAAAUGCUGACAAUAUCAGGUGAACCAACACACAGUCUCUACCUUCAAGGGGCUUGCAGUCUGGUAUUGCAAAGUCAGAGUAUUACAGGGCAGAUGCCUUAAUGGCAGUGUGUGUGUUGUGUGCUAGUGAAUGCACAAAGAAAUGAGUGACAGCUCUACCUAGAAUGCCAGCCACCUCCUCGAGAGAGAUGCCAAGUACAGAGAUCUGAAAAUCCUAGAGGAGCUUUUAUACAAAAGUCCAAGGGGGACCCAAGGAAUUGAAGCCAGAACUGGAAAACACCACUGACCUCCAAAAUAUCUCUGCCACUUGCUAAAUUCAAACCCUGGAGUUUCAGCCUUCUAACGUCAGGUUUUAAUUCCUGUGAAAAAAUGUUCUUUUGAUGGCACUGUAUUUCACGUUGUCAUCAGUGAUUUAUAUCUUAGUGUGAAUGAGCUCCAGGUGUUUUUUCUGAGCAUGUUUUCCUAGAGUAAGGAAGAAACCUAAAGCCACAGUGCAGUGAGUCCUAGAGAAGGAUGGAUAAAGAGGCUCAGAAAGAUGGAUGGUAACACCAGAAGAACAGAUUGGAUGGUCUAGAAGUUCUGAAAAUAACCACCCACACACCCUUUCCUUAAGGAGGUCCCAUCCCUGAGGUCGUUUUCUCCUUCUGUUCAUCCUCCUCCCCGACUUCCUCCUAUCCCCCCAUCUUCCCCUCCUGACGCUUCCCUCAAACCUAGUGUUUCAUUCUUGCACUCAAAUAGAAUGGAGUAGUGAUUUCACACCAUUUAUAAAAGGAAAAAACUGCCUCAGCUUUACCUACCAAGAGCUUCCUUACUCAACACAAAUCUUAGUGCAUUUUCACAAGUGAAGGAAUGUUUGCACAUUCACCAGUGGGGAAGCCAGAGGAAGCAGGGAGAGUAUGGACCCCCGGGAAUGAGGAUCAGAGAUCCCCACCCAUAUAGUGACCAGCCUCCUUCAUCUCACUGUAUGGAAUUCUGUAUGAUCCCACUCUUGAUUGACGCUAAGAUCUCCUUCCAAACAAUCAUGACGUUGCUCCUGACUAUUUCACUCGCAUAGAGUAACACUGCGAAGGAAGUGGCUAUUCUCUUGAUUGACUGAAGAAAAGCCAUUUCAAAGACUGUCAGGGGUGUGAAUCAACAGGAGAACGUGGACACCCAGGGCUCUCCAUCCACGAGAGAGCUAGAAAUUUGUUCAAAAUGGAUUCGGGAUGAUUCUGCAGCAGGUGGAAUGUUCCUCUCAGUGACCCCAGCAUCGUUUUAAAUGUUUGAGACUAUGAAGUAUCAUCACCAAUUCAGAUGAAUAGAUUGUGAGCAAGGGCCUGUCCCAUCAGUGAGUAAGACCUAUACUGAGUGAGAUAAGGAGCUCCAUCUAAUCCUGUACUCGACUGAAGUUUCAAGAAAGUAACCUUCUUUAU